GACGAACGCUGGCGGCGUGCCUAACACAUGCAAGUCGAGCGGGAAAGCCCGCAAGGGUGAGUACAGCGGCGCACGGGUGCGUAACACGUGGGUAAUCUGCCCAGAAGCCCGGAAUAACCUUCCGAAAGGAAAGCUAAUACCGGAUGAGACCACGGGAACCUCGGUUUCCGCGGGAAAAGGUGGCCUCUGCAUGCAAGCUAUCACUUCUGGAUGAGCCCGCGGCCCAUCAGCUCGUUGGCGGGGUAAUGGCCCACCAAGGCUACGACGGGUAGCUGGUCUGAGAGGACGAUCAGCCACACUGGAACUGAGACACGGUCCAGACUCCUACGGGAGGCAGCAGUGGGGAAUCUUGCGCAAUGGGCGAAAGCCUGACGCAGCAACGCCGCGUGUGUGAUGAAGGUCUUCGGAUCGUAAAGCACUGUCGGGAGGGACGAAUAAGGGCCGGGUGAACAAUCCGGUUCGAUGACGGUACCUCCAAAGGAAGCACCGGCUAACUCUGUGCCAGCAGCCGCGGUAACAC
rnacentral:rRNA from 1 species